UACGGGGGGGGCAAGCGUUGUUCGGAAUUACUGGGCGUAAAGGGCUCGUAGGCGGCCAACUAAGUCGGACGUGAAAUCCCUCGGCUUAACUGGGGAACUGCGUCCGAUACUGGAUGGCUUGAGUUUGGGAGAGGGAUGCGGAAUUCCAGGUGUAGCGGUGAAAUGCGUAGAUAUCUGGAGGAACACCGGUGGCGAAGGCGGCAUCCUGGACCAACACUGACACUGAGGAGCGAAAGCCAGGGGAGCAAACGGG
rnacentral:rRNA from 1 species